GUGUUGAAACACCAGUUCUCAUUCACUCACCAAAGUUAAGCAUCGUUAAGCCUGGUCAGUACCUAGAUUGGUGACCACUCUGGAAUACUAGGUACUGUAAG